GAUGAAUGCUGGCGGCGUGCCUAAUACAUGCAAGUCGAGCGAACGGACGAGAAGCUUGCUUCUCUGAUGUUAGCGGCGGACGGGUGAGUAACACGUGGAUAACCUACCUAUAAGACUGGGAUAACUUCGGGAAACCGGAGCUAAUACCGGAUAAUAUUUUGAACCGCAUGGUUCAAAAGUGAAAGACGGUCUUGCUGUCACUUAUAGAUGGAUCCGCGCUGCAUUAGCUAGUUGGUAAGGUAACGGCUUACCAAGGCAACGAUGCAUAGCCGACCUGAGAGGGUGAUCGGCCACACUGGAACUGAGACACGGUCCAGACUCCUACGGGAGGCAGCAGUAGGGAAUCUUCCGCGAUGGGCGAAAGCCUGACGGAGCAACGCCGCGUGAGUGAUGAAGGUCUUCGGAUCGUAAAACUCUGUUAUUAGGGAAGAACAUAUGUGUAAGUAACUGUGCACAUCUUGACGGUACCUAAUCAGAAAGCCACGGCUAACUACGUG
rnacentral:rRNA from 1 species